UGCGGGAUAGCUCAGUUGGGAGAAUGUCAGACUGAAGAUCUAAAGGUCGCGUGUUCGAUCCACGCUCACCGCAA
rnacentral:tRNA from 1 species